rnacentral:lncRNA from 1 species
AACAGUUGAUGACACAUCACUGCACCGGAAGUCGACCGACACGAGUGGUUCAUCGCAGACAUCGAGAAUGCCUUUGAGCUCCUUGUCAGCAGCCUCCCUAAAUGCAGCAUUCACUUCCUCAGCAAAUGUCUUCUUGGUGACUUGAACGACAAGGUCCACGACAGAGACGUUAGGGGUUGGCACACGGAGGGCAAUGCCGUUGAGCUUCCCCUUAAGGCUUGGGAGGACAAGGGCCACGGCCUUAGCAGCACCAGUUGAGGUUGGAACUAUGUUGAGGGCUGCAGCUCGUGCACGUCUAAGGUCCCUGUGGCUCGCAUCAAGAAG